rnacentral:rRNA from 1 species
AGUGAACGCUGGCGGUAGGCCUAACACAUGCAAGUCGAACGGCAGCACAGUAAGAGCUUGCUCUUACGGGUGGCGAGUGGCGGACGGGUGAGGAAUACAUCGGAAUCUACUUUUUCGUGGGGGAUAACGUAGGGAAACUUACGCUAAUACCGCAUACGACCUACGGGUGAAAGCAGGGGAUCUUCUGACCUUGCGCGAUUGAAUGAGCCGAUGUCGGAUUAGAUAGUUGGCGGGGUAAUGGCCCACCAAGGCGGCGAUCCGUAGCUGGUCUGAGAGGAUGAUCAGCCACACUGGAACUGAGACACGGUCCAGACUCCUACGGGAGGCAGCAGUGGGGAAUAUUGGACAAUGGGCGCAAGCCUGAUCCAGCCAUACCGCGUGGGUGAAGAAGGCCUUCGGGUUGUAAAGCCCUUUUGUUGGGAAAGAAAAGCAGCAGGUUAAUACCCCGCGGUUCUGACGGUACCCAAAGAAUAAGCACCGGCUAACUUCGUG